rnacentral:sRNA from 1 species
GACUAUUAGAGAGUGAUCUGGCUGUGAGAUAUCACCCCACUGAUUUGCUGGGGUUGCUGGGAUGGAAUUUUCUUUCCUUCUCUCUCACUGAGCCACGUGCAUUCCUUCUGAAGCUGUAUGCUCUAUCAAAAGAGAUGGUUUUCCCAAAAGAAGAAAUAGAAUACUUCAGUGACUAUAGCAUAUCAUGUAUAUAGUAUAUGGCUGAACUUCUCUGCCAGAAUA